GAUGAACGCUGGCGGCGUGCUUAACACAUGCAAGUCGAACGAUGAAGCCCAGCUUGCUGGGUGCAUUAGUGGCGAACGGGUGAGUAACACGUGAGUAACCUGCCCUUAACUCUGGGUUAAGCCUGGUCAACUGGGCCUAAUACAGGCUAGGAGCGCCUACCGACCGGAUGGUUUUGGAGAGAUAUAUCGGUUUUGGAUGGACUCGCGGUCUAUCCGCUUGUCAGUGAGGUAUUGGCUAACCAAGGCGACGACGGGUAGCCGGCCUGAGAGCGUGACCGGCCACCCUGGGACUGAGAGACGGCGCAGACUCCUACGGGAGGCAGCAGUGGGGAAUAUUGCACAAUGGGCGAAAGCCUGAUGCAGCGACGCCGCGUGAGGGAUGACGGCCUUCGGGUUGUAAACCUCUUUCAGUAGGGAAGAAGCGAAAGUGACGGUACCUGCAGAAGAAGCACCGGCUAACUACGUG
rnacentral:rRNA from 1 species